AAUUUUAUCUAUUUAAGAAUUGUUGGCUGUGUACCAAACCAAAACCAAAAGUGCUGGUAAAAAUCAGUCAAACUUCCUUCACAGCAGGUGCAAGAACAGCUUAGAAGAACAAAGAAGGACUCCUACAUACUCGUUUUAUCUCCGACUUCAUCAUGAGAUUAUUUGUGGUUUCACAGCUUCUGCUGGUGUUCAUAUCAGUCCUGGCAUUGACCAGGGCACAAACAACAUCUGAAACAACAACUGCACAAACAACAUCUGAAACA